rnacentral:rRNA from 1 species
CCUACGGGAGGCAGCAGUGGGGAAUCUUGCGCAAUGGGCGAAAGCCUGACGCAGCAACGCCGCGUGCGGGAAGAAGGCCUCGGUUGUAAACCGCUUUCAGCAGGAACGAAAAUGACGGUACCUGCAGAAGAAGGUGCGGCCAACUAUGUGCCAGCAGCCGCGGUGAUACAUAGGCACCAAGCGUUGUCCGGAUUUAUUGGGCGUAAAGAGCUCGUAGGCGGUUCAGUCAGUCGGGUGUGAAAACUCUGGGCUUAACCCAGAGCCUGCACCCGAUACUGCUGUGACUAGAGUUCGGUAGGGGAGCGGGGAAUUCCUGGUGUAGCGGUGAAAUGCGCAGAUAUCAGGAGGAACACCGAUGGCGAAGGCACCGCUCUGGGCCGAAACUGACGCUGAGGAGCGAAAGCAUGGGUAGCAAACAGGAUUAGAUACCCUGGUAGUCCACGCCGUAACGUAGGCACUAGUGUGGUCGACUACACGAAUCGCGCCGUCGCUACGCAUAAGUCGCCCGCCGUCGGGAGGUACGGUCGCGAGACGUAAACGUUAAAGUAAGUAGUUAGUUACGGCGUGAGACGUGCCGACGGCGACGACGAGGGAGGAGG